AACGAACGCUGGCGGCAUGCCUAACACAUGCAAGUCGUACGAUGCCUUCGGGCAUAGUGGCGCACGGGUGCGUAACGCGUGGGAAUCUACCCUUGGGUUCGGAAUAACAGUUAGAAAUGACUGCUAAUACCGGAUGAUGACUUCGGUCCAAAGAUUUAUCGCCCAAGGAUGAGCCCGCGUAGGAUUAGCUCGUUGGUGAGGUAAAGGCUCACCAAGGCGACGAUCCUUAGCUGGUCUGAGAGGAUGAUCAGCCGCACUGGGACUGAGACACGGCCCGGACUCCUACGGGAGGCAGCAGUGGGGAAUAUUGGACAAUGGGCGAAAGCCUGAUCCAGCAAUGCCGCGUGAGUGAUGAAGGCCUUAGGGUUGUAAAGCUCUUUUACCCGGGAUGAUAAUGACAGUACCGGGAGAAUAAGCCCCGGCUAACUCCGUGCCAGCCGCCGCUGUAA
rnacentral:rRNA from 1 species